GUGCGGGGAGUGGUGGCAUAAAACAUUAAAAAGGAAAAAACUAAGAUGCUUCGUUGCUUCAGGUCAAGAUGCUUACCUUUUGAUUUUAUUGGCAAAACCGUUUGAUAUCAACCUGGUCAAGUGGCAGAAGAGAAUGCUGCACUUAGGAUAGGUUUUGAUUGCUAGCUUGGACAUACAUUCAUAGACUUGGUAAAUGCCAUUCCUAAUUUUACUGAAACAACCUUUAUAUGAAACAGUUGCUUCAACUAAUCUGUCCUAUUUCUAAGGCCAAUAAUUUUGUUUGAUAAUAUUAGAAAUUUAGAACCGGGCAACUGGUGAAAAUAUUAUCACUGUAUUGGUACUAGAUUGCUUGCUGAGACACACCUUUUGGGCAUUCUAGGUGUCUUUUUUUUUUUUUUUU
rnacentral:misc_RNA from 1 species